GAGGAGGAGUUUUAAUUGCUGUGACUAACAUCUCCAGCACAAUGUUAAAUAGUAGUCGAGAUGGUGGGCAUUUUUGCCUUGUUUCUUCAUUAAGAAGAUGCUGGCUUUAGCAUUAAGCAGAAGAGCCUUUGGGUGAAGACAUGGAAACUUGGAAAGGAAUUCUUUGUUACAGUUCUGUAUAUUCUAGAAGAUCCCUCUGGGGAGGCAAAAUUAGGAUACUAUUUCCACUAAAAUGCAUACAAAAUAAUUCGUUCAACAGCAGAGCCAAAGACCA